rnacentral:lncRNA from 1 species
UUAAUUUUGUGUUGAAUUGGAAGUGAGAAGAACUUUGCACUCUCCUCAAAUGCUUGUUUCAUAAAAUCCUCAUCAACACCAUGGUUCACAAGGUAAAAGAAACCAUACUCAACACAUGCCUAUAAAUUUACUAACACAUAUUAGUAAUAAUAAUUAAAGUAUACUAUAUAGUAUAUACUACUAUAACUACAUGAAUUUCUCAAGUGUUGUUGAAGCAAUAAGAAUGUAGAAAAACCUGACGGAUUGAAUUGGCUGUGGAAAUAGGAUCAGGUGAGGAGAGGUCUAUGAUAGGAAGAUUCAAUGUUGUUGUUGUUGUUGUCACCGUCAUCUUCCUUUGUUUUGAAAUAAGCUCUAACUAUGAAUUAAGCUUAUUUAUUGUGUUGUAAUGCUUAAAAAGAAAAAAAAUACAAUUAAUGCUUAAAAAAUUAAUUUUUUACAUUUUAUAUGUAUGGAAUGCACAAAUUUCAAGAAAUUUUUUAUUUAUUUAUAUGUUUAACAUUUUUCAAUAUUUUUUAUACCAUCACUUACUUCUCACUGGAUGAUUAAAAUAAUAGGUGAUGGAACACGAGCAGUAUUAUUAAACUCAAUUAUAUAUUUUUGUAAUGAUUCAAAAUUAGAUUAGGCAUCGUUGUCAAACUACACUAUUUUCUUCACCACGAUGUCCAUGUGAUAUACUCCUGCCUUUAUAUUCAUGAAUAUGAAUCACAGUCCAGGCUAAACAAUAGCCUAAUAUGUACCAAAAAAACAAUAGUCUAAAAUAUUUACACCCUUUAAGAAAAGUAGUUAAAUUCAUUUAUUUUACUAUAAAAUUUGAAAAUUACUCCCUUAUGGAACACUUGUUCCAUGAAAAUAAAAAUGUUUUUUUUGGAAAUUAUGAUUAACAAAUAAAUAAAGCAUUUUGUCAAAACAAAAAAAAAAUAAAAAAAAUAAAUAAAUAAAGCAUAGAUAGUCAACUUUUGUUUAUAUUUUAGACCAACACAUUUCAUUUUUUUCCCUCUUCUUAUAUUUUAGACGGGAGGAAAUAUAUCACUAUAAGUCUAUAAAAUACACAUAUUAGAGAAUAUAUCCUCUCAUGUGUAAUUUUACACAUGAGAUAGGAAAAUGUCAUCUCCCGUUAUUUAUUUAGAGAGAAACAUAUGAAAAAUUUAGACAAGUAAGUUCGAAUAUUUUAUAUUAGAUUUGUGGACAUUUUUAAAUUAACCGCCUAUUUUUUAAAAUUAAAUUAAUAAUAUUAAUAAUUAAUGGAAAAUUACAAAUACAAAAUAAUAUAUAUUGUCCUCUAUCUAUAUAUGUCUGUUGGUACAAUAUUCCGGAUGUGUACAAAUACAUUGGAGAUUUCGUCGAGCUCUUGCAACUGGACAAAUUGAUUGUUUUUGAUUUUUUUUUUUAUAUAUUUUAAAAUGUUAUAUAAACAAUUUCUAAUAAAAAAAAGUUAACCAGUGAUAAGCAACAAAAUAGGAUAAAUUUAGAACCAAAAUUGAAUAAUUGUAUAACUUAGAAGGGGGCAGUGGGCAAAAUCAAGCGGUUAGGAAACUUGGAGUCAAAAUUUCAAUUAAACAAUUACAACAAGUGAAAAAGGAGGGGAGAGUUUUGAAAGAAUAGAGCACUUUGGAAGAGGAGAAUUUUGAGGAUUAAUUUUUCUUCAUAGUAAAAAAUCCUCCUAAUUUGGAAUAACUUAUAACUUACAAAUUGUAUCGGAGGAGAUUUUUGGAGGGUUUGUAUAACUUUUUUAUUUAUAAAAACACUUUAAAAAAAUAUGUGAAAUAUUUUUCUCUCCCCGGAGCCAUCACUUCCCCCUCCUCUCCAAACUCGCAAACAAAGUUUUAGAUUUCGAUUAUAAAAUUUAUCUAUCGAAAACUAUGUAAGUACUAAAUUUUAUAGUACAUCCAAACACAAAUAGUUUAUUAAAUUUAAGCAUUUAGGAAAUAAACUCUUCUAAAUAAACAUAUAUUGCAUAAGUAAAAUAUUUAUCCAAAGGGCCAACACUAUAUUCCAUUAAUUCUUUGGCUUGAUGGACCAUUUAAGAUCCCUUUCAGAACCAUAUAUGAGCUUGAACCUCUCACUAAAGUAGUCUCCACUACGUAUUGGAGGGAAUCUGCAUACAUAGUUCACAAAAGGCACAUGAGUUUAAUUUUAAACUUCAAAAACAAAAAAUAGAAGACUUUAAGGCACAUGAGUAUUUUUUUAGGCACAUGAGUUUAUAUAGUGAGUGCAUGUUUGGCAUUGCGAUAAGUUUGUCGUGAGCCACUGUAAUUUUGUAGAAGCUAUGUUUUAUAUUUUACUUUACCUGGGGGGAGAUGAUUCACUGCAGCAACUUUCAAAGCAUUCCACUACACAGUCUGUAGGUGGAUCCAUGUAGAAUGCCACCUGCAAAAUUGGACAUCAACAUUCAUAUUUCAUUAGAAAUAUGCAUAUGCAAAUCAAACUAACAAAUUAGUAGACCUAAUCAAAAUGAAAAUAAAGAUGCCAAAUGUGUAAUGUCGUGACUCAUGAGUGGAAUGAAGAUUUUGAUUGAUCCAACAACCAUCGAUGUGUCGAUUGUGUGAAUGCAUGGAAUUUUGACCACAUGCAAUCGAAAUACCGCAAUGUAGCACUUUAGUUAUAUGUUACUUAAUAGUAUAAUUCAUAUACUAAGAUUUUAUGUUCGAAAAAUAACAAAGUAAAUAGAAUGAGUAAGUGGUUAAUUAGUAAUUACAGAAUAGCGUUCUUUUCCGGUUGGCAUCACCCUAUGAAGUGUUGACCUGCGAGAGUAAUAAUGACAUAAAAUGAGAAUGGUAUAUAUUGUUUUUGUUUUUUUAGACCCGAUAUUCGGUUCAAGGAAUGACUAAACUAAGGACCCCAAUUGAAGACGGUGUUUUUGCUCUGUAUGAACUGACUCAACAUAGAAAGUGGCACCGGUAUAUACCGUCGAUAAUAGAAAUAGUUUAUAAGUUGUUGGAAGAUGGAACUUACUGGUAUACACAAUUUGUCCACCUCUCCAUCAUGUCCCCAAUGUUCACAAUUAUGCCCCUGCAGAUACAAACAGAAACACCUAACAUUAAAAGGGAAAGAAUUGACUUAAUUAAAAGUGGUAGUAACAUUAUUUACAAAAGUUCUAGUCAUGAACUUACCCUUCUACAUGAGACACAUCCUCCCAUACCUGAGGCUGCUUCAACUUCUCCUUGCAUAUCUUUAAAUAUGAAUUCUUAAGUCAUUAAUUGAUUCGAAACAGAAGAACAGAAGAACAAAAUGUUAUAUUAUAGGAAAGAUGAGAACCUGUAAUCCUGGAACACCAUUAGUGAUUAGGAGAGUGACUAAGCCAUAGUCUGAAUGAGCAGAGGCAGCACAAGAGCCUAAUUCACCUGAUGUAAUAAUAAACAGCCUUUAAUUACAGCAAGAAUUGUGAUUUCUGAAUCACAAAUCUAGCAAACAAUGUACCAACCAAGAUUGUGUGCAAACCUGAAUAUCGUAAAAGGCGAAGAAAAGCCUCCGGUUUUUUUGAGAAGAAAUCUUCAUCAAGAUUCAAAGACAAGGCAAUUAGAGACAACAAUUUUUUGCCAGCUGACCUGUGGCACAUAAGAAUAAUCUUUAAGUCCUAAUUUUGUUUAACAAGAGAAUGUGAUCAAAUUUGUGCUACUAGCUACUAAGUAACUUCUCAUAGUAUUUGUUUGAUGAAAAAUGCAUAACUUACAGUAUUUUCCAAAAUAAGGAUUCCAUUGUGGGUCUCCAAUUUGGCACUAAUUCUGGAGUGUCAUUGCAAGAAAAAAAAAAUGUACAAAAUUAAUUUUCUCUAUAUUCCUAAUUAAGAUGUGCACAAAGAAAAUUCAUACCCUCAGAAGGCCAUUGAUUCAGACUUGCACUAGUGGCAUCUUCUAAAGAACCAAUGUAAUAGCUCUCUUUUGGAUCACCUGCUAGUAGAACUGAUAUUAAUUAUUAUUAUUAUUAUUAUUAUUAUUAUUAUUAUUGGUUGGAUAUUUUAGUCUCUAAAAUUAUCCAAGAGAAACUAACGUGACUAUUUUAUGGAUUAUUUUGAAAGUAUGUUAAGCGUGAGCGCUAGAAACGGUCACUUUAACACUCUUUUAGUAUUUCUCUUAUUGAGUGAUAUUCGUGCGGGUCCUACCAUUUGAGAAAUGGAUUCUAUUCGUGUCUCUGAACUAAAUUGAAGAGUAAUCUCAAUUGUGUACGGUCAGCAUCCAUGAAUGUAUGUAGAGCUGUCAAAGGGGCCGGCCCGGUCCGGCCUGGAGGGGCCCAGUCAAAUAAAAGGGCCGGCCCGACCCGUUAACUUCAUGGCCCGACCUGCUUAGCCCGGCCCAAUUAGCAAAAGCCUAUAUGGCCCGAUGAGCCGGCCCACUAAUUUUCAUAGUAUUUUUUUUUUAAAAUAAAAACAUAUUCUACUAAAUUUAUGUUAUAUUUCUCAACUAAAUCUUCAAAAAGGUAAUUCGUAUCCCUAUAUUUCUCACGUAAUCUCCCAAACAACAAUAUCUUUCUCUUUAUCCUCAUCAAACAAACAAACAAAUCUCUAACAAAUAAUCUCAUUCUAAUCCAAUAAGUUUUUUAUCAUAUUAUUAUUAUUAUUACAAAAAAAAAAAUUCCAAAAUUUAUAUCUUUCAUUCAUCCAUUGUAAUUUAAGUAGAAAAAAAAUAAAUAUAGAAAGAAUAUAAAAUAAAUACAAUAAAAAGAUGAUAAGCUUAUAAUAAACAUAUUUCAAGUUUUAUAUCAUUCGUUGUAAUUGCAAAAAAAAAUUAAAAAAUAAAAAUAAAAAGAUGAUAUGCUUAAAAAUAAGAAUAAAACAGAUUAUAGAUAGGAACAAAACACAAAUAAUGACAAUAAAACAACAACAAAAAUUAAAAAAAAUUAUAUAUGAAUUUAUGCAUAAAAAUAGGACCAAAAUAUAACAAUAAAAAUAUUAUAAAAUUUUUUUAAAUAAUUUUUUUAAUUCUUUAAGGGGCCGGCCCAUGACGGCCCAUGAAAAAGCCUGACCCGAUAAGGUCCGGCCCGAUAAGACCCGACCCCCUUUUUAUGAAGCUCGGCACGUGUAAAUGGAUAAGGCUAAUGGGACGGCCCGAUAGCCCGGUCCUUUUUGACAACUCUAAAUGUAUGCACUCAGAUAUAUCAAAACAAUUCGAUUGAGAUUUGACAGAUUAGAUUUAAUGGUCGAAAUUUUUAUAUUUUAAAAAAUUUAAAUUGUAUUUAAAUUUGAGCCGUCUAAUUUUUAUCAGACAGCUCCGACUCACUGACUUGACCGCACUUUUGACGACUAUACUUCCAUUGAUGAGCUAGUCUAAAAUAUAUAUACACGUAGUUCAUUGUUCUAGUGUAGCCUUUUCAGAAGAAAUAUAUUACCUUUGGAGAGUGAAGAAGGGUCAAGUUUCUCAGCAUAGAGAGGAGUAUAACCUCUGUACUCCUUGCGAUUCAAGUUAACUUUGUGUUGAAUUGGAAGUGAGAAGAACUUUGCACUCUCCUCAAAUGCUUGUUUCAUAAAAUCCUCAUCAACACCAUGGUUCACAAGGUAAAAGAAACCAUACUCAACACAUGCCUAUAAAUUUUUUAUAGUUACUACUAAUAUUAGAACACAAUUUAAUUUAUACAUUAAUUUGUCAUGUCUUGAACUAAUACUAUUAAAUAUUAAGCAAAAUGCAUCUAUAGUCCUUUAAAGUUCACGUAUGUAUUAAAUAGUUCUUUUAAGUUUUUUAAGUUACAAAUAGAUUCUUUAAAUUUUAUGGUUGUAUCAGAUAUAUUUUUUAAAAAUAAAAUAUACAGACUUAUCUUAUCUAAUGGUAAAUAUGCAAUUGGACCAAGUUGGGAAGACCCUAUACUUCCCCAUACUAAAUCAGUGUCACCCAUGAGAACAGGGUCGUUUAAGAUUUUGGUGGCCUAAGGGCGAAUUUAUAAUUUGGGUCCUAAUUAAUAAUUGUAGUAUAAAAAAAUUUAAUUCUCAAAAAACAUUAAACUUUUAUUUAAUAUCAAAAUACUUUUACAAAACAAUUUCUACCACUAUUUCUAAAUACAAUCAUGCAAAGUUACUAAUAAUUGUGUUUACAUCAAUAUGUUAUAUAAGAGGAAACUAGGGAUGAUUGAUGAGUUGUAGACUUGUAGAGAGAAAAAUAUAGGAAGACAAUGGGUGUAU